CAGCUGACGGGAGCGCAACUGACGCUCAUGCUCGAAAGUGCGGGUAUCGAACAGGAUUAGAUACCCUGGUAGUCCGCACGGUAAACGAUGGAUGCCCGCUAUUUGUCCAUUAGGAUAAGUGGCCAAGUGAAAACGUUAAGCAUCCCACCUGGGGAGUACGCCGGCAACGGUGAAACUCAAAGGAAUUGACGGGGGCCCGCACAAGCGGAGGAACAUGUGGUUUAAUUCGAUGAUACGCGAGGAACCUUACCCGGGCUUGAAUUGUGAGAGAAGGAUCCAGAGAUGGUGACGCCCUUCGGGGCUCUCAUGAAGGUGCUGCAUGGUUGUCGUCAGCUCGUGCCGUGAGGUGUCGGCUUAAGUGCCAUAACGAGCGCAACCCCUCUCUUCAGUUGCCAUCAGGUUAAGCUGGGCACUCUGGAGACACUGCCACCGUAAGGUGUGAGGAAGGUGGGGAUGACGUCAAAUCAGCACGGCCUUUACGUCCGGGGCUACACACGUGUUACAAUGGGUGGUACAGAGAGUUGGGUGCCCGCAAGGUCACUCUAAUCAAUAAAUCCAUCCUCAGUUCGGACUGGGGUCUGCAACCCGACCCCACGAAGCU
rnacentral:rRNA from 1 species